GACGAACGCUGGCGGCGUGCUUAACACAUGCAAGUGGAGCGACGAACCGGGGCUUGCCCCGGGGCAGAGCCGCGAACGGGUGAGUAACACGUGGGUAACCCACCCUGGUGACCGGGACAACCCGAGGAAACUCGGGCUAAUACCGGAUGUGCUCAUGACCUUCAAGGGUCUUGAGUAAAGGUAGCUUCGGCCUCCGCACCAGGACGGGCCCGCGGCCCAUUAGCUUGUUGGUGAGGUAACGGCUUACCAAGGCGACGAUGGGUAGCUGGUCUGAGAGGACGAUCAGCCACACUGGGACUGAGACACGGCCCAGACUCCUACGGGAGGCAGCAGUGGGGAAUCUUGCACAAUGCGCGAAAGCGUGAUGCAGCAACGCCGCGUGGGGGAAGAAUGCCUUCGGGUUGUAAACCCCUUUCAGUUGGGACGAAGCUUCGCCGGUGAAUAGCCGGCUGGAGUGACGGUACCUUCAGAAGAAGCUCCGGCUAACUACGUGCCAGCCGCCGCAGUA
rnacentral:rRNA from 1 species